GCCCAGGUGGCGGAAUGGUAGACGCGCUAGAUUCAGGUUCUAGUGAGCGCAAGCUUGUGGAAGUUCAAGUCUUCUCCUGGGCACCA
rnacentral:tRNA from 1 species